rnacentral:rRNA from 1 species
AUUGAACGCUGGCGGCAGGCCUAACACAUGCAAGUCGAGCGAGUGGCGGACGGGUGAGUAAUGUAUGGGGAUCUGCCCGAUGGAGGGGGAUAACUACUGGAAACGGUGGCUAAUACCGCAUACUAUCGGAUGUACCCAGAUGGGAUUAGCUAGUUGGUGGGGUAAAGGCUCACCAAGGCGACGAUCCCUAGCUGGUCUGAGAGGAUGAUCAGCCACACUGGAACUGAGACACGGUCCAGACUCCGACGGGAGGCAGCAGUGGGGAAUAUUGCACAAUGGGCGCAAGCCUGAUGCAGCCAUGCCGCGGGUAUGAAGAAGGCCUUCGGGUUGUAAAGUAAUUGCAGCGGUGAGGCGUUACCCGCAGAAGAAGCACCGGCUAACGCCGUGCCAGCAGCCGCGGUAAUUC